rnacentral:rRNA from 1 species
AUUCGAUUAGAGUUUGAUCAUGGCUCAGAACGUACGCUGGCGGCACGCCUAACACAUGCAAGUCGAACGAAGUAGCAAUACUUAGUGGCAGACGGGUGAGUAACAUGUAGGUAUCUGCCCUUUGGCCUGGAAUAACACGAGGAAACUUGUGCUAAUACCGGAUAAGUCUUUACGGAGAAAGCUUUAUGCACCAUUGGAUGAGCCUGUACUUGAUUAGUUUGUUGGUAGGGUAAUGGCCUACCAAGACUUUGAUCAAUAGCUGAUUUGAGAGGAUGAUCAGCCACAUUGGGACUGAGACACGGCCCAAACUCCUACGGGAGGCAGCAGUGGGGAAUCUUGCACAAUGGAGGAAACUCUGAUGCAGCGAUGCCGCGUGAGUGAAGAAGGCCCUUGGGUUGUAAAGCUCUUUCGUCGGGGAAGAAAAUGACUGUACCCGAAUAAGAAGGUCCGGCUAACUUCGUGCCAGCAGCCGCGGUAAUACGAAGGGACCUAGCGUGGUUCGGAAUUACUGGGCUUAAAGAGUUCGUAGGUGGUUGAAAAAGUUGGUGGUGAAAUCCCAGAGCUUAACUCUGGAACUGCCAUCAAAACUUUUCAGCUAGAGUUUGAUAGAGGAAAGCAGAAUUUCUAGUGUAGAGGUGAAAUUCGUAGAUAUUAGAAAGAAUACCAAUUGCGAAGGCAGCUUUCUGGAUCAUUACUGACACUGAGGAACGAAAGCAUGGGUAGCGAAGAGGAUUAGAUACCCUCGUAGUCCAUGCCGUAAACGAUGUGUGUUAGACGUUGGAAAUUUAUUUUCAGUGUCGCAGCGAAAGCGAUAAACACACCGCCUGGGGAGUACGACCGCAAGGUUAAAACUCAAAUGAAUUGACGGGGACCCGCACAAGUAGUGGAGCAUGUGGUUUAAUUCGAAGAUACGCGCAGAACCAUACCAACACUUGACAUGUUCGUCGCGACUUUAAGAGAUUGAAGUUUUCGGUUCGGCCGGACGAAACACAGGUGCUGCAUGGCUGUCGUCAGCUCGUGUCGUGAGAUGUUGGGUUAAGUCCCGCAACGAGCGCAACCCUCACUUUUAGUUGCCAUCAUUAAGUUGGGCACUCUGAAAGAACUGCCAGUGAUAAGCUGGAGGAAGGUGGGGAUGACGUCAAGUCCUCAUGGCCCUUACGUGUUGGGCUACACACGUGCUACAAUGGUAUCUACAACAGGAAGCAAAGCCGCGAGGUUAAGCAAAUCCUUAAAAGAUACCUCAGUUCGGAUUGCACUCUGCAACUCGAGUGCAUGAAGCUGGAAUUACUAGUAAUCGUGGAUCAGCGUGCCACGGUGAAUGCGUUCCCGGGUCUUGUAGA